GAUGAACGCUGGCGGCGUGCUUAACACAUGCAAGUCGAACGAAGCACCAGAUUUGAUUUCCUUCGGGACUGAUCAUUUUGUGACUGAGUGGCGGACGGGUGAGUAACGCGUGGGUAACCUGCCUUGUACAGGGGGAUAACAGUCGGAAACGGCAGCUAAUACAGCAUAAGCGCACGGCAUCGCAUGAUGCAGUGUGAAAAACUCCGGUGGUAUAGGAUGGACCCGCGUUGGAUGAGCAAGUUGGUGAGGGAACGGCCCACCAAGGCGACGAGCCAUAGACGGGCUCUGAGACUGAGCCGCGACUCUGGCGCUGGGCCGCAGCCCGGACUCCUGCGGGAGGCAGCAGUGCCGGAUACUGCACUAUGGGCGGAGGCCUGAUGCCGCGCCGCCGCGAGAGCGCUGAUGUAUUUCGGUAUGUACAGCUCUAUCAGCCGGGGAGAUACUGACGGUACCUAACUAAGAAGCACCGGCUAACUACGUG
rnacentral:rRNA from 1 species